rnacentral:rRNA from 1 species
GACGAACGCUGGCGGCGUGCCUAAUACAUGCAAGUCGAACGCAUUUUCUUUCACCGUAGCUUGCUACACCGAAAGAAAAUGAGUGGCGAACGGGUGAGUAACACGUGGGUAACCUGCCCAUCAGCGGGGGUUAACACUUGGAAACAGGUGCUAAUACCGCAUAAUUCCAUUUACCGCAUGGUAGAUGGAUGAAAGGCGCUUUUGCGUCACUGAUGGAUGGACCCGCGGUGCAUUAGCUAGUUGGUGGGGUAACGGCCUACCAAGGCUGCGAUGCAUAGCCGACCUGAGAGGGUGAUCGGCCACACUGGGACUGAGACACGGCCCAGACUCCUACGGGAGGCAGCAGUAGGGAAUCUUCGGCAAUGGACACAAGUCUGACCGAGCAACGCCGCGGGAGUGAAGAAGGUUUUCGGAUCGUAAAACUCUGUUGUUAGAGAAGAACAAGGAUGAGAGUGGAAAGUUCAUCCCUUGACGGUAUCUAACCAGAAAGCCACGGCUAACUACGUG